rnacentral:rRNA from 1 species
UACGAAGGGUGCAAGCGUUACUCGGAAUUACUGGGCGUAAAGCGUGCGUAGGUGGUUCGUUAAGUCUGAUGUGAAAGCCCUGGGCUCAACCUGGGAAUGGCAUUGGAAACUGGCGACCUAGAGUGCGGUAGAGGGUAGUGGAAUUCCCGGUGUAGCAGUGAAAUGCGUAGAGAUCGGGAGGAACACCAGUGGCGAAGGCGGCUUUCUGGCCUGUUCUUGACGCUGAGGCGCGAAAGCUAGGGGAGCAAACGGG